CGGCGGACGGGUGAGUAACACGUGGAUAACCUACCUAUGAGACUGGGAUAACUUCGGGAAACCGGAGCUAAUACCGGAUAAUAUUUUGAACCGCAUGGUUCAAAAGUAAAAGACGGUCUUGCUGUCACUUAUAGAUGGAUCCGCGCUGCAUUAGCUAGUUGGUAAGGUAACGGCUUACCAAGGCAACGAUGCAUAGCCGACCUGAGAGGGUGAUCGGCCACACUGGAACUGAGACACGGUCCAG
rnacentral:rRNA from 1 species